rnacentral:misc_RNA from 1 species
UGGCUCUCGCAUCGAUGAAGAACGCAGCGAAAUGCGAUAAGUAAUGUGAAUUGCAGAAUUCAGUGAAUCAUCGAAUCUUUGAACGCACCUUGCGCUCCUUGGUAUUCCGAGGAGCAUGCCUGUUUGAGUGUCAUGGUAUUCUCAACUCAUUCAAUAUUGUUGACAAUUUUGAAUGAGCUUGGAUGUGGAGGAUAUUUGCUGGCCAUCACUACUCGGUGAAUCAGCUCCUCUGAAAUGCAUUAGUGUGAAUGUUUACCUAGCAUCUCCUCAGUGUGAUAAUUAUCUACGCUGUGUGUCUUGGUAAAUCGCGCUUUCGAACCGUCUGCAUGUGUGGACAAUAUUUCAUUUGACAUCUGACCUCAAAUCAGGUAGGAUUACCCGCUGA